CAAUCCAAUCCAUUUGCAGAAACAACAGUAAUACCAGCAUUGGGAUGAUGCCAGGUGACGAUAAGCCAUCCUGGUUGCACUUUAAUAGUUCAAGACAGCAAAUGUCCACUGCUCCUGCCUUGGACAGAUUGGUCCCUUUUAACUCCAGCAAUCCAAUCCUGUUCCCCAUUAGCUUCCCAGUACUUUCUCCCAUGAAAUCCCACUUUUCAUAGUCUGUUUCCUGUGGGAUACCUAGUGUGCCUAUGUCAACUGCACUCACAGCCCAGCUGCAAAUUUUAUUCCUUCUCUUGUUGCCGUGCUGGUUCACAAACUUGGGGUUCAUAGUCUGGAAAACAGUUUUUUUUUUUCUCGCAGGGUGCUAGGGAUUUGGAAAUAGAGCAGAGAGAAGAAAAAAGGAAGUUUAUUUUCUGAUUUCUUUGAUGUGAAUUGUGGCAGCGGACGAUGUUAGAGCAGGAUCUCUGAUUUUGGGGCAUGCUAGGAUGCACAGAUUAGAAGUAAAGCAGCAUGUUGCCUGCCAUCCUUUCUCACCUGCAGCCUAAUCCUGUGCUCUUGUAGUGUCUUCUUUGCCUCCAGGUAACAGAAGGUUUGCACUCAUUUCUCACCUGGAUUCACAUGCUCUGGUAUGCCAUCAGCACCACAGGGAGUUCCUGAGGCUCCUGGACUGAUGGUAUAUCAUAGCCGUAGAAUUUCCCAAGUUAGAAGAAAACCAUAAGGAUCAUCGAGCCCAGCUCCUGGCUACAUUGCACCACCCAAAAAUCAGACCCUAAUGUUGUCCACAUGCUCCUUGAACUCCGGCACUUGGGGCUGUGCCCACUGCCCCAGGCAGCCUGUUCCAUACCCACUGCCCUCUGUGAAAAGCCUUUUCCUAACCCCCAAAUUGACCCUCUCCUGGUGCAACUCCAUACUAUUUUCCUGAAUAUCAGAGCAGCCCAACCCUGCUAACCUACUAAUUCCUGUGCAGAGGAUAAACACCACAUAGCAGUGGGGACAGAAUGCAGACUGGGGUGGCUGAGCAGUGACUGAGGCUGCGUGGCAUGGUUGACCAGGUCUGCAGAGCUGCAGUUACAGACUGAUCCUUUCUUCUCUGGGAACAGCGUCCAUGUCUUGUCACAGCCACCAUGGAGAGUCUCCCCCAUUGCUUCCUCUUGGGGGAUUUCUUUCUAUUUCACUGAUUUAUUGAAAAGAUUAGGGUGUCCUGGCAUCCCACAGGAUUUCUAAGAAAGGUACUUAAAAGAAAAACCCUUGAAUCUGUAAAUUUCCAUUAAAGUAAUGGGGCUUAUGAUGACAGGCAAAGUACAAGCGUUUAGGCAGACAAAGAUGAGCACUGGUUUUGUAGCUGUCUAUUUAAAUCAGAUCCCCACAAACGCCAGUCUGGACAGGAGAAACCCAAAGCCUUUCUUGCUUGUUACGUGAGCCUUAGCAGAAGACCUUUAUUUGAAGUUUUUUUUCUGCUUUUAUAUGUCAGCAGCAGUGUUCUCCAGCAGUGGAGGGCAGCUUUUCUCUAAUUUUAGAUCUUUCUCUGGGAAGAUGGCAGAUGACAACUUAGACAGUCCUCUGAAAAGGCUGGGUUUGAAGGCAUGCCUUCUUACUAAAGAUGUACAUGCUGUGCAGCACGGCAGUUCCUGCCAGAUCAAACUGGGCGGGUUUCACAUUCAAAUCCCAGCCCACUUGGAGGUCACACUCCAGGCAACGUGUCCCAAGCCGCUCACUGAUGGGAAGGCUGGCUACAUUUUUUUUAGCAAGCAUACAAACAGGGAGAGCUGCAGAGAGGGAGCAGGAGCAAUGAUUAACAUGGAGCUGAUCCACUGAGGAAGUCAAACAGAUGCAUUAUUGUCUCUGAGGACUCCUGGCUGAAGGUUCUGCUGCCAGAAACUGGAAAUGACUCCAUGCUUCAAAUCACAGCGUACCUACUGCUGUGAUAACUGAGCACCUGUCAAGAUACUAUAUUGCUAGUCAUGGAAAUGGAAGUCAUCUCAGAUUUAUCAACAGAGAAGCUGACAUUGCUGCCUGGCAAGUUUCUCAGCUUUUGUGCCUCAACCUUGACCCUCAAGGAUCUACUUCUCAAGGCAAGAAAGCAGCGAAUUCUCCUCGCGGAUUUAAUCACCGUCUCCUCUGCUAUGGGUUCUGAUUCAUGAGGUGGUAGAGAUCUCUUUAACCAAACCAGAUCACCUGAAGUAGUCACAGCUACAGGACACAGAGCACACAUUUGCCACAAGCUGACUUUGGCAUCUCAGGUCCCAGUAAUACCCAAAUGAAGUGGAAAUCUACUUGCUUGAGACUACAAGUGGAUCACUGAUGACAGUGGGCACCUUUCAGACAUUAAGGCUGUGCCUGUAUUUGAACUGCAAGACAUUUUUUAUACUCUCAUUGUCCUUUGAGCUCACAAAGGAUGCUCACAAUCUUGUAAAAAAGCCAUGCUCCAAAGUCAUCAAGUGAUAUUAGAUUGUCUCAAAACCACUAGAGGUUCCCUCUAUUUCCCAGAAGGUGUUCCAGAGCUGGAGCCAAUUCAGCUGCCAAGACGCUCCUUUCUCACCUGCUGAUUGCAAUUAGCCACUGCCAGCUGGGACCUGGUGUGCCACUGAAGAGCUAACAAGAAGCAGAGACCAGCAUGAUGCCUCGACAGCACAUACACAGUGAAUAAAUAAGAAAUGCUUCACUGUAUUCCUGAAGUUACUUCCUAUGCAACUUCAAUUGCUUCCUAAGCAAUUCCUGUGUCCCUACAUGCACGUCAGAGG